rnacentral:lncRNA from 1 species
ACACAAACAAAAGUCCCCACUAGUCGUCUGUCAAUUGUCAUUCAUUUCGCUGGCGAAGCAGCAACACUGCGCAAUUGCUUCAUCACCGCACGCAGCGCUGUUCAUAGCCGUUUAUGCAACAGCGAGGGUGAUCGUGCUACACGCGGUGCGAUUCCUAGCCCUGCCUAUAUACCUUCAUCCAUUCUGCCGGCAAAGUCACGCCAUCGCUGUGCGUAGCAUCAAUAAUCGUCCUUGUGCAGUGGCAAUGAUGAUGGCGUGCGAACAACAUCGUUGCUUAUUUCUAUGUGAAUCGAUGAUGCCAUAUCGAUGCUAGCAUAAGGUAUUAGGAUUUGACCUCAAUAUUGAUUGUGACUUGUUGUAACUUAGUCACAUACCAUCACAGUUAAGAUUGAUUUUGUUACAAAUAAUCACAUAUAACACAUGUAUAGUCACAAAUAAAUUUUUGGAGAUUUUUCUACAGUUGAGCAUAGAGAGAGAGAGAGAGAGGAUUUGUUUUCAAUUUUUGAAGAUUUUUUCAUCACCAAAGUCAGAGUAGUCGUCAGAGCGGUAGUCGGAGCGAUCACCAAAGAGGUUGUCGGAGUAGUCACUGAAACCGAUGGCCGCCUC